rnacentral:lncRNA from 1 species
GGACCACACAUGACAGUUACAAGUAAAGGAUUGAAUAUCUCCUUUCUUCUCUGCAUUUAUUAUAAAAAUAUGGAGAAAACAGAAUCAUGUGAAACGUAACUCUGUUUGUGUAUGUUCCAUGUUGGUUUGAAGUCCAUCAAUCUAUUUAUACAUCUAAAGAUAGAACUAACUAUUCAAUCCGAAGCUUGAAUCUGAGCAUCUAGGUUUUUCUCUAAAGCUUCAAAUUUAGAUUUUCCAAACACAAGAAAUGUUUUUGUUCAGAGGUCUUUUGGGUGCAAAGAAAAUUAUCAGAUUUUCUAUAGAGGCUACAAGCAAAAGGCCAGUUUCAGCAUCAAGGGGGUUUCUUGCGGUGUACGUUGGCGAAGACCAGGUCUAAAAGAAAAGAUAUUUGGUGCCAGUCUUAUAUUUAAACCAGCCUUCAUUUCAAGCUCUUCACCGUAAUUCCAAGGAAGAGCUUGGAUUCGAUCAUCCAAUGGGUGGCUAGCUUAAAAAUCCAUUGUCCUGAAGAUACCUUCAUCGAUCUGACUUCUCAGCUUCAAUGAAGAUGUUCCGCAAGAAGGAAUAACUAACAGUAGUUAGUGAGAGAUAGAUUAUUCAAUGUAAAUACUUCAUCUUGCUGUCAUAGAUAUAAUGUGUAAAUACAUUCCUUAUCACCAAGAGGAUUUGCUUAAAAUAAUGAAGAUUCUUGAUCUUGACCUUAAGGCUAACAUCAUAGUGAUUUUCUCACCGAUGUUUACACUUAGGUACUUAAGUUGCUUCAAAGACAAGCAAGGCAUGGAGGAUCUCAUUACUGUAAUACUGUUGCAAGAAAACUAAAGGGGUAUAUAUUUUGAUGAUGUUUUCUUUAUUCUUUUACUUGAUUUUCGUGUGUGGUUCUAUUUGUGUAU